AUUGAACGCUGGCGGUAUGCUUAACACAUGCAAGUCGAACGGUAACAGACCUUCGGGUGCUGACGAGUGGCGGACGGGUGAGUAAUGCGUAGGAAUCUGCCCACGAGUGGGGGACAACCUGGGGAAACUCAGGCUAAUACCGCAUACGCUCGGGAGAGGAAAGCGGGGGACCUUCGGGCCUCGCGCUGGUGGAGGAGCCUACGUCCGAUUAGCUAGUUGGUAGGGUAACAGCCUACCAAGGCGACGAUCGGUAGCUGGUCUGAGAGGAUGAUCAGCCACACUGGGACUGAGACACGGCCCAGACUCCUAUGGGAGGCUG
rnacentral:rRNA from 1 species